rnacentral:rRNA from 1 species
GACGAACGCUGGCGGCGUGCUUAACACAUGCAAGUCGAACGGAAAGGCCCUGCUUUUGUGGGGUGCUCGAGUGGCGAACGGGUGAGUAACACGUGAGUAACCUGCCCUUGACCUUGGGAUAACUUCAGGAAACUGGGGCUAAUACCGGAUAGGAGCUCCUGCUGCAUGGUGGGGGUUGGAAAGUUUCGGCGGUUGGGGAUGGACUCGCGGCUUAUCAGCUUGUUGGUGGGGUAGUGGCUUACCAAGGCUUUGACGGGUAGCCGGCCUGAGAGGGUGACCGGCCACAUUGGGACUGAGAUACGGCCCAGACUCCUACGGGAGGCAGCAGUGGGGAAUAUUGCACAAUGGGCGGAAGCCCGAUGCAGCAACGCCGCGUGCGGGAUGACGGCCUUCGGGUUGUAAACCGCUUUCGCCUGUGACGAAGCGUGAGUGACGGUAAUGGGUAAAGAAGCACCGGCUAACUACGUG